GCAGUUUGAGAAGAUGGCGGCCUGAACCGGAGUCCUUCUUCCCCUCCUCCCUCUCCGCUGCUGCAAUGCCCAGGCCCCCCGCAACGUUCCUCGUCUGUAAUGGUGCCAGAGGCUUUAAAUCUUGCAGAAGCCACAUCUGCUGCCUGCAGAAUCAGAGGGACCCUGAGCUUGUUUUCCUGCAACUAGAUGGUCCCAUCUGGGGGUGAUGGGAGACAGUGACAGAUCAUCAGGCCUUGGAUUCUCAUAAGAAGCACGCAACCUAGAUCCCUCACAUGUGCCGUUCACAACAGGUUUCAUGCUCUUGUGCACAUCCAAUGGUUCCUAAAGGGCCACAGACCGGUACUGGUCCUUGGCCCAGGGGUUGAGGACCCCUGUUCUAUAAGGUCGGGAGAGAGGCCUCAGAAGAAACCAACCCUGCCGAGACACCUUGAUCUCAGACUUCAGCCUCCAGAACUGCGCGGUGAUGCGUUCCUGUUGAAGGCACUCUGACCGCAGUGGCUUGCCGUGGCAGCCCUCGACAACAAAUACAGGGUCUGUUGAACCAAAUGAAUCCAAAAUGUAUGCCCAAAGAUAGCCGCCAGGUCUAUGAAAACACCUGCUCUGAUAUGAGGGGACGUGGACCACAGAGAGAUGGGGUUUCACCAUAUUGGCCAGGCUGGUCUUGAACUCAAGAUGAUUCGCCCAACACAGCCUCUCAAAGUGCUGGGAUUACAGUCUCCGGUAUGUCAUUAUCAGCAGUGUGAAAAUGGACUCACUCCCACCCUGUCUGGAUCUGGACAAGAGCCCACCACCCCGUUGGCAGUAGUCAGGCAGCUCUGCUUCUAAGAACCUGCAGCUUUUGGAAGAAAGGCACCCUGUGGUUUCAGAAGCCCAAGAGUCCCUGCAGCUCAGCACCCCCAGCCUGGUGCUUGGCAGAUGACUGCCUCCUCACUUAGCAGAGGGAGCAGAAAACUGUGUAUUCUUCAGAACAUCAUGAUAACCUGGCACUCAUGGGUCUAUGGAGAGAAUUCAGGGGGUCUGGGAGCUUGGAUGGAAUAAAUUUGCAUCUUUAUUUUCAGGAAAGUUUUACUGAAGUUUAGCAUUUUCUUUCAUUAUAAAUGGAAUCAGUAUAACCCAAUAGUAUGAGCAGUUACUUCUCCGCAACAUCAAAGUGGCUGCAGAUAUCUCAAAAUAGUAUUUACAUUUAUCAUAACUUAGAAAUUUGGGUGGUAAUUAAACCAGCAACUAUUCUUUGUUUAAUGCAUUAAGAAAGAAGUAUGUAUACUAUCAUAUCUCAAUUAAAAAUAUUUUAAGAACU
ensembl:lncRNA novel transcript